CACGUAGGAUCCAAGCGUUAUCCGGAUUUACUGGGCGUAAAGCGCGUGCAGGUGGUUUGUUAAGUUGGGUGUUAAAUCUCUCGGCUCAACUGAGAGGUGUCGCUCAAAACUAGCAGACUGGAGGAUGGUAGAGGAUGGCGGAAUUCCGGGUGUAGUGGUGAAAUGCGUAGAUAUCCGGAGGAACACCAGUGGCGAAGGCGGCCAUCUGGACCAUUCCUGACACUCAAACGCGAAAGCUAGGGGAGCAAACGGGAUUAGAAACCCCCGUAGUCC
rnacentral:rRNA from 1 species